GACGUAGGGCGCGAGCGUUAUCCGGAAUUAUUGGGCGUAAAGAGCUCGUAGGCGGUUUGUCGCGUCUGCCGUGAAAGUCCGGGGCUCAACCCCGGAUCUGCGGUGGGUACGGGCAGACUAGAGUGAUGUAGGGGAGACUGGAAUUCCUGGUGUAGCGGUGAAAUGCGCAGAUAUCAGGAGGAACACCGAUGGCGAAGGCAGGUCUCUGGGCAUUAACUGACGCUGAGGAGCGAAAGCAUGGGGAGCGAACAGG
rnacentral:rRNA from 1 species